AGCAGUCCGUGGGGGUGCUUCUGGUAAAACCAGAGGCUGAGAGCAGACCCCUUGAACCUGAUCUGGGUAAUACCAGCGCAGGAAACGGCAAAAAAAAUAAC
rnacentral:ncRNA from 2 species